AUUGAACGCUGGCGGCAUGCUUUACACAUGCAAGUCGAACGGCAGCGCCGGCUUCGGCCUGGCGGCGAGUGGCGAACGGGUGAGUAAUGCAUCGGAACGAGCCCAGUAGUGGGGUAUAGCCCGGCGAAAGCCGGCUUAAUACCACAUACGACCUGAGGGCGUAAGCGUGGGUCCGGAAUGCCUCACGCUUGUGGAGCGGCCGAUGGUGGAUUAGCUAGUUGGUGGGGUAAAGGCUUACCAAGGCGACGAUCCGUAGCUGGUCUGAGAGGACGACCGGCCACACUGGGACUGAGACACGGCCCAGACUCCUACGGGAGGCAGCAGUGGGGAAUUUUGGACAAUGGGGGCAACCCUGAUCCAGCAAUGCCGCGUGAGGGAAGAAGGCCUUCGGGUUGUAAAACGCUUUUGUUCGGGAAGAAAUCCUCUGGGCUAAUACCACGGGGGGAUGACGGUACCGGACGAAUAAGGACCGGCUAACUACGUG
rnacentral:rRNA from 1 species